UGGGACCUAGAUCAAUUGGUUAGAUCGUCCUCUUACCAAGAGGAAGGUUCUAGGUUCAAAUCCUAGGGUCUUAU
rnacentral:tRNA from 1 species